rnacentral:rRNA from 1 species
CACAAUGGGCGAAAGCCUGAUGGAGCAACGCCGCGUGAGUGAAGAAGGAUUUCGGUUUGUAAAACUCUGUUGUAAGGGAAGAACAAGUACAGUAGUAACUGGCUGUACCUUGACGGUACCUUAUUAGAAAGCCACGGCUAACUACGUGCCAGCAGCCGCGGUAAUACGUAGGUGGCCAGCGUUGUCCGGAAUUAUUGGGCGUAAAGCGCGCGCAGGUGGUUUCUUAAGUUUGAUGUGAAAGCCCACGGCUCAACCGUGGAGGGUCAUUGGAAACUGGGAGACUUGAGUGCAGAAGAGGAUAGUGGAAUUCCAAGUGUAGCGGUGAAAUGCGUAGAGAUUUGGAGGAACACCAGUGGCGAAGGCG